GUGGCUGUAGCUCAAAGGUAGAGCGCUGGACUGUGGAUCCAGUGGCUGCGGGUUCGACUCCCGCCAGCCACCCCA
rnacentral:tRNA from 1 species